CUGCAAAUGAUAUUCUAAAGUGGAUUUGUUAAGGAUGUGAUCUAAAUCAUAAAUUGAUUGAAAGUGAACAUCGUGCUUGCGCUGGGAUCGCAAAUUAAGGGUGGGUCCUGGGUUCACAGAUCCUCUGUGUGGCAUCCAAGGUGAAUAAGACGUGGAACAUUCUUGAAGCUCAUUCCUCCCCUCAGCUUCAGUCAGAAGUUCAAAGUUAGUUCACUGCUUUGCUUGGAGGCUUUGUUGCCGACCAUAAUGGGAACACUUCCAUUGGGUUGGUCAAUAAAUAUACAUAACCAAAUCUGAUAAGGAAUCAUCCAGAUCUUCUCCAAGUCUCCGAGUCCCUUGGAGCAUUAGAGGUUAGCUCUUGAUUUCACUUUUCCACCUUGAAAAACUGACUUAAGAACUUUUGUGCCUCUGAGUCCCACUGCAGAAGACGAGGCCCCUCAUGAAUUCUGUGGGUGUUUGGUUCUUAAAGGACUUGCAGUGAUGUUCAUCCAAACGUCUCUAGAACUUCAUCACCAACACACAUGUGGACUGGAAAGUGAAAAAGGGAACUGUCACUGCCUCAGUUUAUCAGAGUUCUGCCGCUGGACUCUAAAAGGCACUCCAUAACCGGGUAAAUUUGGACGGCACCCCGAGCCUGUCCGGGGCCCGUCUGGGAAGCUGUGUGAGGCACAAGCGCUCGGCCCUGUUUUUGAGAAGAUGCACCACGCGCGGGAGGAGAGGAAGCCGGCACCGGAAGGAACAGGCGUUGUCACAGAGCACCGCGGAAACCCAGGCCCGAGAGUUGCUUCCAGGCCUUGGUCAUCGUGAACAGUGCUGCACUGAACACUGGGGUUCAUGUAUGCUUCUGGACCAUGUUUUUCUCUGGAUAUAUGGCAAGAAGUGGGAUUGCAGGAUCAUAAGUUAGCUCUGUUGUUAGUUUUAUAAAGACCCUCCGUGUCAAGACCAGCUUUCGAAGUUCUCACUAGCUACGCACAUCCAAGCCAGAGCCGAGCUCCAGUUCCUUUCUCACUGGUCUCACAAGGUCAAGGCUCAUGAGCAAGUUCACUCUCGACGGCGUCCUUUUAGUAAGCUGGGAACACAGAGAGACAGAAGCGCGUGUGACGUGUCAGAUGUCACCCACUCUUUGUGCUUCUUCCAGGAAACACGGAGCCCUCGUGGACCCUAGGAAUUGCAAUGCCUCGUCCUGGCUCCUCAGAAGGAGCAUCCUGAAGGUGAAACCUUCCUUAUUCAUUGGAAAGGGGAGGGAGAAAAUACUCUCUCUGUCCCUUUAAAAUAAAAUUCUAAACCAAAUUCCA
ensembl:lncRNA